rnacentral:rRNA from 1 species
AUAUCAGUCAUGCAUAGCAUAUCAAUAAGCGGAGGAAAAGUACUACCUACGCUUAGGAUGUUGAAGAUGUAGCACAUCAUACACGCAUGACACACUGCAUAUCAAUAAGCGGAGGAAAAGAAACUAACAAGGAUUCCCUCAGUAACGGCGAGUGAAGCGGGAAGAGCUCAAAUUUGAAAUCUUCAAGGUUUUACCUUGACGAAUUGUAGUUUAAAGAAGUGUUUUCUGUUGAAGUUUUGGUAAAAGUUCUUUGGAAUAGGACAUCAUAGAGGGUGAGAAUCCCGUAUUUGACCAUUAUUUUCAGCUGUGUGAUACACUUUCAAAGAGUCGGAUUGUUUGGGAAUGCAGUCCAAAAUGGGUGGUAAAUUUCAUCUAAAGCUAAAUAUUGGCGAGAGACCGAUAGCGAACAAGUACCGUGAGGGAAAGAUGAAAAGAACUUUGAAAAGAGAGUUAAACAGUACGUGAAAUUGUCAAAAGGGAAGCGUUUGACACCAGUGUUGUUUUCUCGAAAAUCAAUCAAAAAAAGUUGGAUUUUGUGUUGUAUUGACCUUAACAGCUUUCUGCACUCUUUUCCUGCUUUUUUUAAUGCACUUUUCGUUUAACAAGUCAACAUCAGUUUCUUUUGUUGUAAAAGGGUCAUUGGAAGGUGGCUUUCUUUUCGGAGAAAGUGUUUAUAGCCUUUGAUCUCUGCAAUCGGAGAGACUGAGGUCUGCAGCGUAGAUCCUUCGGGGUUAGAUACAUUUGUGCUAAGUUAUAACUUUUCAUAGACAACUUGUUGACUAUGUUUUAGUCAUGUAGCUUACUCGCUUAUGUUAUUUUACCUACGCUUAGGAUGUUGAAGAUGUAGCACUCAU